rnacentral:rRNA from 1 species
ACGGAGGGUGCGAGCGUUGUUCGGAAUUACUGGGCGUAGAGCGCGUGUAGGCGGCCUUGCAAGUCAGGCGUGAAAGCCCUCGGCUUAACCGGGGAAGUGCGUCUGAAACUGCUUGGCUUGAGUACGGGAGAGGGAGGCGGAAUUCCCAGUGUAGAGGUGAAAUUCGUAGAUAUUGGGAGGAACACCGGUGGCGAAAGCGGCCUCCUGGACCGAUACUGACGCUGAGACGCGAAAGCGUGGGGAGCAAACAGGAUUAGAUACCCUGGUAGUCCACGCGGUAAACGAUGGGCACUAGGUGUGGGGGGUAUCCACUCCUCCCGUGCCGAAGCUAACGCAUUAAGUGCCCCGCCUGGGGAGUACGGCCGCAAGGUUA